rnacentral:rRNA from 1 species
UACGUAGGUGACAAGCGUUAUCCGGAUUUACUGGGCGUAAAGGGAGCGUAGGCGGAUAAUUAAGUGGGAUGUGAAAUACCCGGGCUCAACCUGGGUGCUGCAUUCCAAACUGAUUAUCUAGAGUGCAGGAGAGGAGAGUGGAAUUCCUAGUGUAGCGGUGAAAUGCGUAGAGAUAAGGAAGAACACCAGUGGCGAAGGCGACUCUCUGGACUGUAACUGACGCUGAGGCUCGAAAGCGUGGGGAGCAAACAGG